rnacentral:rRNA from 1 species
GCCGUACCAUGCUGAAUAUACCGGUUCUCGUUAGAUCACCGAAGUCAAGCAUCAUUGGGCGCGGUCAGUACUUGGGUGGGUGACCACCUGGGAACAUUGCGUGCCGUU